GAUGAACGCUGGCGGCGUGCCUAAUACAUGCAAGUCGAGCGAACGGACGAGAAGCUUGCUUCUCUGAUGUUAGCGGCGGACGGGUGAGUAACACGUGGAUAACCUACCUAUAAGACUGGGAUAACUUCGGGAAACCGGAGCUAAUACCGGAUAAUAUUUUGAACCGCAUGGUUCAAAAGUGAAAGACGGUCUUGCUGUCACUUAUAGAUGGAUCCGCGCUGCAUUAGCUAGUUGGUAAGGUAACGGCUUACCAAGGCAACGAUGCAUAGCCGACCUGAGAGGGUGAUCGGCCACACUGGAACUGAGACACGGUCCAGACUCCUACGGGAGGCAGCAGUAGGGAAUCUUCCGCAAUGGGCGAAAGCCUGACGGAGCAACGCCGCGUGAGUGAUGAAGGUCUUCGGAUCGUAAAACUCUGUUAUUAGGGAAGAACAUAUGUGUAAGUAACUGUGCACAUCUGACGGUACCUAAUCAGAAAGCCACGGCUAACUACGUG
rnacentral:rRNA from 1 species